AUUGAACGCUGGCGGGAGGCUUAACACAUGCAAGUCGAACGAGUGGCGGACGGGUGAGUAAUGUAUGGGAACCUGCCCGAUGGCGGGGGAUAACUACUGGAAAGAGUGGCUAAUACCGCAUACUAUUGGAUGUGCCCAGAUCGGAUUAGCUAGUUGGUGGGGUAAAGGCUCACCAAGGCAACGAUCCGUAGCUGGUUUGAGAGGAUGACCAGCCACACUGGGACUGAGACACGGCCCAGACUCCUACGUGAGGCAGCAGUGGGGAAUUUUGGACAAUGGGGGAAACCCUGAUGCAGCCAUCCCGCGUGUAUGAGAAGGCCUUCGGGUUGUAAAGUACUUUUGGCAGAGAAGCGUUAUCUGCAGAAGAAGCACCGGCUAACUACGUGCCAGCCGCCGCGGUAAUAC
rnacentral:rRNA from 1 species